GUGGUUUAAUUCGAAGCAACGCGAAGAACCUUACCAGGCCUUGACAUGCAGAGAACUUUCCAGAGAUGGAUUGGUGCCUUCGGGAACUCUGACACAGGUGCUGCAUGGCUGUCGUCAGCUCGUGUCGUGAGAUGUUGGGUUAAGUCCCGUAACGAGCGCAACCCUUGUCCUUAGUUACCAGCACGUUAUGGUGGGCACUCUAAGGAGACUGCCGGUGACAAACCGGAGGAAGGUGGGGAUGACGUCAAGUCAUCAUGGCCUUUAUGACCAGGGCUACACACGUACUACAAUGGCCGAUACAAAGGGCAGCGACACUGCGAGGUGAAGCCAAUCCCGUAAAAUCGGUCUCAGUCCGGAUUGGAGUCUGCAACUCGACUCCAUGAAGUUGGAAUCGCUAGUAAUCGUGGAUCAGCAUACCACGGUGAAUACGUUCCCAGGCCUU
rnacentral:rRNA from 1 species